rnacentral:tRNA from 2 species
GGUGGGAUUCCCAAGUGGUCAAAGGGAACGGACUGUAAAUCCGUCGACCUCCGGUCUUCGAAGGUUCAAAUCCUUCUCCCACCA